rnacentral:rRNA from 1 species
UACGGAGGGUGCAAGCGUUAUUCGGAAUUACUGGGCGUAAAGCGCGUGUAGGCGGGAAGGUAAGUCUGAUGUGAAAGCCCCGGGCUUAACCUGGGAAGUGCAUUGGAAACUGCUUUUCUUGAGUACUGGAGAGGAAGGGAGAAUUCCCGGUGUAGAGGUGAAAUUCGUAGAGAUCGGGAGGAACACCAGUGGCGAAGGCGACUUUCUGGCCUGUUCUUGACGCUGAGGCGCGAAAGCUAGGGGAGCAAACGGGAUUAGAUAACCCGUAGUAGU